rnacentral:rRNA from 1 species
UACGGAGGGUGCGAGCGUUGUCCGGAAUCAUUGGGCGUAAAGGGCGCGUAGGUGGCUUCUUAAGCGUGCGGUGAAAGCCUGGGCUCAACCCCGGGUCGGCCGUGCGAACUGGGGGCUGGAGCACUGUAGAGGCAGGCGGAAUUCCGGGUGUAGCGGUGGAAUGCGUAGAGAUCCGGAAGAACACCGGUGGCGAAGGCGGCCUGCUGGGCAGUUGCUGACACUGAGGCGCGACAGCGUGGGGAGCAAACAGG